GUGGGGAAUCUUCCGCAAUGGACGAAAGUCUGACGGAGCAACGCCGCGUGAGUGAAGAAGGUUUUCGGAUCGUAAAGCUCUUUCGUUAGGGACGAACGUGCUCUUUGUGAAUAAUGAGGAGUAAUGACGGUACCUAAAUAAGAAGCCACGGCUAACUACGUGCCAGCAGCCGCGGUAAUACGUAGGUGACAAGCGUUGUCCGGAAUUAUUGGGCGUAAAGCGCGCGCAGGCGGGAUAUCAAGUCUGUCUUAAAAGUGCGAGGCUCAACCUCGUGAGGGGACAGAAACUGGUAUUCUUGAGUGUCGGAGAGGAAAGUGGAAUUCCAAGUGUAGCGGUGAAAUGCGUAGAGAUUUGGAAGAACACCAGUGGCGAAGGCGACUUUCUGGACGAUGUCUGACGCUGAGGCGCGAAAGCUAGGGGAGCGAACGGGAUUAGAAACCCGUGUAGUCC
rnacentral:rRNA from 1 species